rnacentral:tRNA from 1 species
CAUCGCGAUCAGCGAGGUGAGGAUCGUGCCGUACACGGGCGCCAGCGCGCCGAAUUUCUCGGUGACCGGGUUCCAGUCCUGCGUGAUGA